rnacentral:rRNA from 1 species
UACAUAGGGAGCAAGCGUUAUCCGGAUUUAUUGGGUGUAAAGGGUGCGUAGACGGGAAAUUAAGUUAGUUGUGAAAUCCCUCGGCUUAACUGAGGAACUGCAACUAAAACUGAUUUUCUUGAGUACUGGAGAGGAAAGUGGAAUUCCUAGUGUAGCGGUGAAAUGCGUAGAUAUUAGGAGGAACAUCAGUGGCGAAGGCGACUUUCUGGACUGUAACUGACGCUCAUACACGAAAGCGUGGGGAGCAAACAGG